rnacentral:rRNA from 1 species
CCUCCAGACUCCUACGGGAGGCAGCAGUGGGGAAUAUUGCACAAUGGGCGCAAGCCUGAUGCAGCCAUGCCGCGUGUGUGAAGAAGGCCUUCGGGUUGUAAAGCACUUUCAGCGGGGAGGAAGGCGUUAAGGUUAAUAACCUUGGCGAUUGACGUUACCCGCAGAAGAAGCACCGGCUAACUCCGUGCCAGCAGCCGCGGUAAUACGGAGGGUGCAAGCGUUAAUCGGAAUUACUGGGCGCAAAGCGCACGCAGGCGGUCUGUCAAGUCGGAUGUGAAAUCCCCGGGCUCAACCUGGGAACUGCAUUCGAAACUGGCAGGCUGGAGUCUUGUAGAGGGGGGUAGAAUUCCAGGUGUAGCGGUGAAAUGCGUAGAGAUCUGGAGGAAUACCGGUGGCGAAGGCGGCCCCCUGGACAAAGACUGACGCUCAGGUGCGAAAGCGUGGGGAGCAAACAGGAUUAGAUACCCCAGUAAUC